UACGUAGGGGGCGAGCGUUGUUCGGAUUUACUGGGCGUAAAGAGCGCGUAGGCGGUUCGAUAAGUCAGAGGUGAAAUCCCUCGGCUCAACCGAGGACCCGCGUCCGAUACUGUCGAACUUGAGUGCAGGAGAGGAGAGCGGAAUUCCCAGUGUAGCGGUGAAAUGCGUAGAGAUUGGGAGGAACACCGGUGGCGAAGGCGGCUCUCUGGACUGUCACUGACGCUGAGGCGCGAAAGCUAGGGGAGCAAACGGG
rnacentral:rRNA from 1 species